rnacentral:lncRNA from 1 species
CUUUGUACUUGCUUGGCUUUAUAAAUAUUUUGAAAUGAGCGUCACUGAUGAGUCUUAUGUAGACGAAACGAGCGUCUGGCGUACUAAAUUAUAAUCCUGGUACCUUUGAUAGGAUCUUCUCCUUUAGCCAUAGUGCACUGCUAGAUUAUCUAUUUCUAACUAUCUGAUUCGUUAAAACAUGAAGAUCUGCAUCAAAAGACGAAUUAAAUACUCCUAUUUUUUCUGCCU